GACGAACGCUGGCGGCGUGCUUAACACGUGCAAGUCGAACGGUGAAGGGGCCUGCUUUUGUGGGCCCUGGAUGAGUGGCGAACGGGUGAGUAACACGUGAGUAACCUGCCCCCUUCUUCUGGAUAACCGCAUGAAAGUGUGGCUAAUACGGGAUAUUCUGGGUCUGUCGCAUGAUGGGUCUGGGAAAGAUUGCGCCUUUGGGUGUUUUUGGUGGGGGAUGGGCUCGCGGCCUAUCAGCUUGUUGGUGGGGUGAUGGCCUACCAAGGCGGUGACGGGUAGCCGGCCUGAGAGGGUGGACGGUCACACUGGGACUGAGACACGGCCCAGACUCCUACGGGAGGCAGCAGUGGGGAAUAUUGCGCAAUGGGCGCAAGCCUGAUGCAGCGACGCCGCGUGAGGGAUGGAGGCCUUCGGGGUGUAAACCUCUUUCGCCAGUGAAGCAGGCCUGCUCCUUGUGGGUGGGUUGACGGUAGCUGGAGAAGAAGCGCCGGCUAACUACGUG
rnacentral:rRNA from 1 species